AGGCCUUUCAUGGGGGGGGCGGGGCACUACUGCCAUUGGCCAAGGCUGUCCUCUCAGCUGAAGGCUCAACUGGUGGAGAACCCAGUUCUGAGCUCACUCUUGCGGUUACUGACAGGAGUCAGUUCCUCACAGGUUGUUGGCUGGAGCCCUCCCCUCCGUCACAGGGCAUUUCAACAGGGCAACUAGCCUCCUACAGAGCAGGAUGUCUAGGUCAGUGAUCACACCAUCGUGAUUAUCUGAGUCGUGACAUGUGGGUGCUGCUAAAGAGGAACAGAGAUGCAAAUCCGGCGGGAGUGGACAAGGGAGAAAGGAAGAUGGAGGAGAGGGGUAUUCAGAUCAAAUAUGCUCCACUAGAUCCUUGGUUAGGCCAAGAAACAUACAAGGUUGGUUUCUUUCCUUGUAUUUAUUGGAGCUGGAGCUACUGGAGCAGCACGUGUGCCUUGUAUCUGGCAUUGUCCGAUCAGUUGGAACAGAAAGAAUAAGCCAGAAGAAACUGAAUCCCAGUGAUCAAGGGCUUCCCUGGCACCUCCUUCUCCAGUGGCUUUCCAGCAAGUUCUGGGCUAUGCCACCUCUCCAAGGAUGUUUCCCUGGCACCUGACAGCAGAUUCCAAACAAGUGGCACUGGUGCAGCAUCUCAGCCUCAAUUCAGCAUAGACUGACCUCGUUUGAGCAAGAAGAAAUUCUGCCAGUCAGUGAUCUUUGAACUUGAACUACAGUUCUUUCCUUGGGUCUCCAGUCCACCAGCCUAACCUGCAGAUUUUGGAUUUACCAUGGCUCCACAACUGUCAGGUUUGUGAAAAUGUUUCACAAUGUUGUUCACAGCUUCUCCAAUUCCUUCUUGGAUCUGUCCUGCAUUGGGUUCUAAAAAAUAAUGAAUAAUGGCGGAAAUUUCAGGCAAGGAAAAUAAACCAAGUACUACAGGACAUCAACUGUGCCUGCCUGUGCAGGAAACACUUCACCAGGGCAGGCUGCCUUGUCAGGGAUCCAUGAAACUUGCCUUGCCAGUUUAGUCAAGUGAGGCAUAUUGACACAAAGGAAAAGAAUCUAAGAGACCCCCGAGACUCAAAUCCCAGCCUUACCACUCAAAAUCUAUAACUAUAGUCACCAAUUUUAAGUAUGUAAUUUGAUGAGUUUCGACAGAUGUAUAGACAUGUAACUACCACUAUAAUCAAAAUACAGAAAAUUUCCAUCAACCCCCAAAGUUCUGCUGUUCCCCUUUUCAGUCAAUUCCCUUCCCCAGCUUGUAACUUUGUAACCCCUGUCAAGUACUCAUCUGCUUUCCAUCAUUAUUAUAUUGCCUUUUCUAGAAUUUAAUAAAUAGAAUUGUAUAAUGUCUGCUUUUUCUCACCUGGCACAAUACUUUUGAUUCAUCCAUGAUGUUAGCUAUAUCAACAGUAUUGCUGAAUAGUAUCCCACUGACUAGAUGUAUCACUAUCUGCUUAUCCACUUACCAGCUGGUGGAUGUUGCAAGUGUUUCCAUUCUGGCUAUUAUGAAUAAAGCUGCUUGGAAAAUUUGAGUAUGAGUCUUGGUGUAGAUAUAUGCAUUCAUUUCUCUAGGAUAUAUACAUCUAGAUUGAGAGUUCUGGGUGAAGUGUAUGGUUAGUACAUGUAUAUAUCUUUAUAAGAAAUUGCCAAAUGGUUUUUCCUUUUGUAUUCCCAUUGUAAUAUAUGCGUAUUCACUAUUGUCUCCUCUUUCUAGUGUAUGUGUGGUAUUAAGUUUACUUUGGAGGCAGAAAAGAAUUAUGGAUAAAGGGAAUCAUUUAUUAAAGAAUAAGGGAGAUUGUUAAAGACUAUAUCAUUCUAAUAGUUAAUAUAUCACUAUAUGCUAACAAAUGGAUAUAGAAUAAUAAUAUCUAAGGAAAUUGCUUUGUUAACUAAGGACCUCUUAGGUACCUCUUAUUAAUAAGGUACCUCCAAUAACUCAUGGUUAUUGUCUAUGAAUUGAAAUAAAACCACUUGACUGUC